GUUCGUUUCUGUGUGUGUUAUAAUUUAACGUUGCGUCGUUUGUUUUCUCUUAUUUUUUAGUGUAAAUUGACAUUGCGAUAAGACGUAUCACGGUACUUGUCUAUCCCAAAUUCCUGUAUUUGGUUUUGAUCUUAUAUUUGUUAUUCUCGUGGGAUUUUGUCUGAUGCUUGGUCCGUUUCUGUGUGUGUUACAUUGUAGUGUUGUGUCGUUG
rnacentral:lncRNA from 1 species